AUGUGUCCGAUCAAGAAGGAGAUGAGCGGGGAGUCCGGCUCGCCGUGCAGCGGGGAGAACUUCUACUCGCCCUCCACGUCGCGGGAGCAUCAGCAGGCGAAGCAGGCGGCGUGGACGUCGGCGCCGGCGAAGCGGCCGGCGGGGCGGACCAAGUUCAGGGAGACGCGGCACCCGGUAUACCGCGGCGUGCGGCGCAGGGGCAAUGCCGGGCGGUGGGUGUGCGAGGUGCGCGUGCCCGGCAGGCGCGGGAGCAGGCUCUGGCUCGGCACCUUCGACACCGCCGAGGCCGCCGCGCGCGCCAACGACGCCGCCAUGAUCGCGCUCUCCGCCGGGGGCGCGGGCUGCCUCAACUUCGCCGACUCCGCCGAGCUGCUCGCCGUGCCGGCGGCCUCCUCGUACCGCAGCCUCGACGAGGUCCGCCACGCCGUCGUGGAGGCCGUCGAGGACUUCCUGCGGCGGGAGGCGAUCGCCGAGGAGGACGCGCUCUCGGGCACCUCGUCGUCCGCGCCCUCCUCCCUCACCGACGACGAGUCGUCCUCUUCCCCGCCCGAGGACUCGCCGUUCGAGCUGGAUGUCCUGAGCGACAUGGGCUGGGACCUGUACUACGCGAGCCUGGCGCAGGCGAUGCUGAUGGCGCCGCCUUCUUCCAUGGCCGCGGCGCUCGGCGAUUACGGCGAGGUCGAUGUGCCACUCUGGAGCUACCAGAGCUAG
rnacentral:rRNA from 1 species